UUAAGAAGUACUAAAGAAGAAUUUUAUUAAAAAAUACUAUGGAAGUACAAAAUUAAGAACAAUCUAUUAAGUACAAAAUUAGUGCACGGAAAUAGAGCACUUUAAGUAGCUACAUUAUGGAAGUUUACUUUUGUUCACUUGGGUUGCUAUACGUUUUUGAUGUGUUUUUGACUAUAUUGCAGUAUCUGUUUCCCCUAAAUCCCACCAUAUCUGCUGAUAUUUCAGCCAUGUAAUUCAGUAACAGGCUAGCUAACACUUGUAACCAAUUAUCACGAAGCAAUGACAUUUAAUCGUUCUACUAAUCAUUAGAUUAAUCGAUUAUCAAAAUAAUCGUUUGUUGCAGCCCUACUGCUCAGUGCUCUGGUAAUAUGGUAUGACCCAUUUCAGAUUUAAUCAAAACUGCCCCCAACACUGACCAGCUGACCUCUUCUUUCAAGGAAAGACGGUGUUGGUGUUGUGCCUUUUGUUUUGUGUCUGGACUUUUAAAUUGAAUUGUUUUCUCUGUUCCCAUAGUCUCUGUGUUCUCUUCCUUUGUUUAGUUCCUGUUUUCCCUGUUACUGUGCUCCCGUUGUUUGCUGCCAUGUCUUUUCCUUUGACCACUCCCCACUCCUAGUUUGUCAUCAUAGUAAUUCAUUAGCUUAUUUGUUUUCCUCUGUCUUUAUAGCCCUGUUUAAUCUCUUGGUUUGCUUUGAUUGCUUUGUUUAAUUUGUUCCUUGUUGCUCUGGAUAUGUUCCUGUUCUGAGUAUCAUUGUCUACUCCAACUUUCCUGUGUUUAUUUCUCCGGUGGAUUUUAACUGUAAACCAAGCUAUAUCAUGUCUUCAACAAUAGAGAUGAGAAUAACGGAGAACAGGUGAAUGAUCUACUGCAGAAGAUUGACACAAUGAUGGAGCAGAAUGGAGGAGGACACUACAGUAAUCAGCAGCUGUUGGUGCAUUUUUUUAGUAAAACUAGGUGUAAUUUGUGACAUUCUCAUGGAAUUUGUGUAAUUUUGUUUUAUAACAUUUUGAUGUAUUUUUACUUUUCUUGGUGCUGGUGUGGGUGCAGUGCUUGUCUCUGUGUAUUUUCUUAAUAAUCUCGCAGUGAUGUUGUUAAUACUGCAGCAAAUUCAAACGCUUCCUCACUGGAUCAGCGCUGUGUGUCAUGUGAUCGGCCUGCAAGUAAACCUGUUCUUUUAUUUUUUUGUAGAUUCAGUAUUUGAAAAUAUAUGAUGUAAUGAUUUUUUUCUGCAAAUCUCAUCAAUAUAACAUCAUAUUCAGGUUUUAUUUUACUCAUAAUGCAGCACAACUGUCAAAACUAAUACUUGAAUGGAAUUGAUGAAUAGAAGUGAUGAAUUCUGACAAAAAGUGAUAGUAAAUGCUAGAAUGGUAAUUAUUAUUUUAACCAGCAGGUGGCAGCAGAGUACCACUUAUUGGCUCACUUUCAUGUUUUUGGUAUUGGUUUCAAAGCACAUUUUCCGUGGUAAUGCCAUAAAACAUUAUUACAAACACAUAUUUUGUUGAUAUAUGGAUAUUUGUAAUAAAUGAUAUGUAAGAAAA